GAACAUCCGUGUUAUAACGGCCGUCGUUGCCCCGCCAUGCAGGAUAAAUAAGUUACAUACAUGGUGACUCGUAAGCUAGCACGAGGUUAUAUGAAACAGAACAUCCGUGUUAUAACGGCCGUCGUUGACCCGCCAUGCAGGAUAAAUAAAUAACAUACAUGGUAACUCGUAAGCUGGCACGGGGUGUAUGAAACAGAACACCUGUGUUAUAACAACUGCCGUUGCCUCGCCAUGCGAGGAUAAAUAAGUUACAU